CUGAUUGUAAGCUUCAUAAUGAAAUAGCAAAUACAACUCUAUUCAUUUAGCUUCUUACUUUUAUCCUGAUACAUGGUGGAAUCGAUGUAGAAAUACAUAAGUUUCAUCAUAUCCUAAUAACACAGUACCACAGAUUGCUAAUUGUUAAUUUGAGUAACAAACAUGACGGCUACAAUAAUGCUGCAUUAUUAUAAUGCCCUAUUAAAAAGCACAAUUCAGAUUUUUUUUUUCAAAUUAUUUUAUUUAUUCACUUCUUGAAUGAAAUAUGCUACAAGUUGUUCCAGUUAAAUGAAGAUACACAACAUAAAUCAGCAUAAUUAAUGAUUAAGUACAUUUUUUUCAUGUUUUAAACUCCUUAUUUUGGGAUUGUGAAACAGAAUAUUGAAGUGUUUUCUUUUGCAAUCCUCAAUGUGAUAACUUGACAAAAUUCUUAACAAAAAAAUAAAUGAUAUUCAAAGCAGAAUUUUUCUUAAAACAGAAAGAAAAGGAUAAAUAU
rnacentral:lncRNA from 1 species